rnacentral:rRNA from 1 species
AAGUCGUACCGGCGGGUAAUCAGCCUUUCGGGUAUGAUUCUGUGGAGUGUGGGGAGCUAAACACCCUCAUGCCUGCAUAUUCGUGCUCUUGGGUGUACUUGCUCGUGUGGUUGGUUAACAUCAAUUUCGGAUGCCAUAAAAUGACUGGAGGAAUGUAGCUUCGAUCUCGUAUUGAAGUGUUAUAGCCUUCGGUAGAUGUGAUGAUCGAGAUUGAGGAUUGCAACGGAUACCCUUCGGGGCUACCUGUCUGAUCUCUGAAGGUUACUCCGGUGCUGAAAGCGUGCUUAUGGUUAUCGGAAGUGAUUUUCAAAAGGUUAGAACGGGUU